CUUAGUGGCGGGCGGGUGAGUAACGCGUGAGAAUCUACCUUCAGGACGGAGACAACAGUUGGAAACGACUGCUAACCCCCGAUGUACCGAAAGGGCAAAUAUUUAUAGCCUGAAGAAGAGCUCGCGUCCGAUUAGCUAGUUGGAGAGGUAAAAGCUCACCAAGGCGACGAUCGGUAGCUGGUCUGAGAGGACGAUCAGCCACACUGGGACUGAGACACGGCCCAG
rnacentral:rRNA from 1 species